UACGUACUCCCUCCGUUCCGAAUUACUCGUCGCAGAAAUGGAUGUAUCUACAUGUAUUUUAGUUCUAGAUACAUCCAUUUCUGCAACGAGUAAUUUGGAACGGAGGGAGUAUUAU
rnacentral:pre_miRNA from 1 species